rnacentral:rRNA from 1 species
UACGGGGGGGGCAAGCGUUGUUCGGAAUUACUGGGCGUAAAGGGUUCGUAGGUGGCCUGCUAAGUCAGACGUGAAAUCCCUCGGCUUAACCGGGGAACUGCGUCUGAGACUGGCGGGCUUGAGUACAGGAGAGGAACGCGGAAUUCCAGGUGUAGCGGUGAAAUGCGUAGAUAUCUGGAGGAACACCGGUGGCGAAGGCGGCGCUCUGGGCCGGUACUGACACUGAGGAGCGAAAGCGUGGGUAGCAAACAGG